rnacentral:rRNA from 1 species
UACGUAAGUGGCGAGCGUUUAUCCGGAAUUACUGGGCGUAAAGCGUGCGUAGGCGGUUUAGUGUGUGGGAAUUGAAAGCCCGGGGCUCAACUCCGGAUCCGGUUCCCAAACUGCUAGACUCGAGCGUAUCAGAGGAGAGCGGAAUUCCCGGUGUAGCGGUAAUAUGCGUAGAUAUCGGGAGGAACACCAGUGGCGAAGGCGGCUCACUGGUCCGGUACUGACGCUGAGGUGCGAAAGCGUGGGGAGCAAACAGG